UACCAGUUAUGCAAGCGUUAUCCGGAAUUAUUGGGCGUAAAGCGUUUGUAGGCGGGCGAGUGUGUUUAAUGUUAAAUCUUAAAGCUCAACUUUGAAAUUGCGUUAAAAACUGCUUGUCUUGAGUAUGGUAGGGGUAAAGGGAAUUCCCAGUGUAGCGGUGAAAUGCGUAGAUAUUGGGAAGAACACUAAACAGCGAAGGCACUUUACUAGGCUAAUACUGACGCUGAGAAACGAAAGGUAAGGUAGCGAAACGGAUUAGAUACCCGUGUAGUCUUACCCGUAAACUAUGGACACUAAACGGUAAAUUUUUAAUUUACUGUUAAAGCUAACGCGUUAAGUGUCCCGCCUGGGGAGUAUGCUUGCAAAAGUGAAACUCAAAGGAAUUGACGGGGGCCCGCACAAGCGGUGGAGCAUGUGGUUUAAUUCGACGGUACACGAAGAACCUUACCAGGAUUUGACAUGCUAGAUAGUUGCUUGAAAGAGUAACGUGCCGUAAGGAAUCUAGACACAGGUGGUGCAUGGCUGUCGUCAGUUCGUGUUGUGAAAUGUUGGGUUAAGUCCCGCAACGAACGCAACCCUUGUCUUUAGUUAUUUUCUAAAGAGACUGCCUGUAAUAAACAGGAGGAAGGUAAGGAUGAGGUCAAGUCAUCAUGCCCCUUAUGUCCUGGGCUACACACGUGCUACAAUGGGAAAGACAAUGAGCUGCAAAUCUGUAAAUUUAAGCAAAUCUCUUAAACUUUCUCGUAGUUCGGAUUGUGGGCUGCAACUCGCCCACAUGAAGUUGGAAUCGCUAGUAAUCGCCAGUCAGCUAUAUGGCGGUGAAUCCGUUCCCGGGCCU
rnacentral:rRNA from 1 species